GAUGAAGAACGCAGCGAAAUGCGAUAAGUAAUGUGAAUUGCAGAAUUCAGUGAAUCAUCGAAUCUUUGAACGCACAUUGCGCCCGCCAGUAUUCUGGCGGGCAUGCCUGUUCGAGCGUCAUUACAACCCUCAGGCCCCCGGGCCUGGCGUUGGGGAUCGGCAGAAGCCCCCUGUGGGCACACGCCGUCCCUCAAAUACAGUGGCGGUCCCGCCGCAGCUUCCAUUGCGUAGUAGCUAACACCUCGCAACUGGAGAGCGGCGCGGCCAUGCCGUAAAACACCCAACUUCUGAAUGUUGACCUCGAAUCAGGUAGGAAUACCCGCUGAACUUAAGCAUAUCAAAAGCGGAGGA
rnacentral:misc_RNA from 1 species